CCUGCGCACCUGUGGGAAGGGAACACCUGUUGGUCGCUAACAGGGACCAAAGCAGUGCCCGUGACAGUGACCCAGCCCACGCCGCGGCCCUUUGCGGAAAGGAGAAAGAAAAGCAUCUGGGCGCAGAGCCAGGCCCUCACGCAUCCAUCGGGGCGGAGCUUCCGGCGCCAGGGGUGGGCUGACCCCCCACCUGGUCCCCGGGGGGCGGAGCCCUGUACCUGCCUGCGGGGUGGCGCACGUGGCCAGCCCUGCUUCCUGGGCCUCUGUUUACAGGGACCAUAAUUACAAGAUCAACGGAGGCGAGAUAUCCUGAGGUGGGAAGGCCCUUCCUCUCCGGGUUGCGCGCCCGUGAAUCUUCGGGCAACAGAGCUAGGGGAGGCAGGCCUGUGUGUCGUGACAGCUUCCCCCCAGGGAUGGCAGCCGGCCUUUCACGCUUCAGGAGCCUUCAGAAGCUUCUGGGAGGAGCCCCGGGUUCAGUUCAGAGAAUUACUGCUUCUCCUUUACGCAUCGAAUGGGCUCGGGCCACUCGGAUCCCAGAGGUCAGAACGGGACCCAGGUCCGGUCAGCAAUGGUCACCAGGACUGGGCCAGGGGUGGGCGCCUGAGCCAGUUGGAGCCAGGAAGAGCCAGCUCUGGAACUUUGUUGGAAGCAUCUGGAAAGGGAAGCUCCCUUUGUGCCGGGCUUGAAGAGGAAGAGACGGGGUUCCCGUGCACAGAGAAAAGACCACGUGAGGCUUCAGCAGGAAGACAGCCACCGAGAGAGGCCUCAGGAGAAAGCAAUCCUGACAGCACCUUCAUCUUGCACUUGCAGCCUCCAGACAGCGAGAAGAGGAAAUCUUGUUUGUCUUCGUCUCUGGUACUUCGUCGUUGCAGCCACAACACUAAGACGCUCAUCGAUGCACCUGUUCCGACUUUCUUCCUUUCACUGUCCCUAACCGAUGCUUCCUUGGAUCAGCUCCCAAAUAAACCACUUGCACUUGAA